GCCUAUUUAGUUUUAUAUUAGUUAAAAUACUAGUCUUGUAAACUAGAGAAAAGCAGUAUCAUAAUAAAUA
rnacentral:tRNA from 1 species